GCCUGUUUAUCAAAAACAUGUCUUUUUGUUUUAUAAUUUAAAGUCUAAUCUGCCCACUGAUGAACAUUGAAGGGCUGCAGUAUUUUGACUGUACAAAGGUAGCAUAAUCAUUAGUCUCUUAAUUGGUGACUUGUAUGAAGGAUUGGAUGAGAUAUAAGCUGUCUUAAUUAUAUUUAAUUGAAGUUAAUUUUUUAAUUAAAAAGUUAAAAUAUAUUAAAAAGACGAGAAGACCCUAUAGAGUUUUAUAUUAAAUUAAAUUUAAAUUAUAUAUAAAUUUAUUAAUUAUAAAUUUUUUAAAAUAUUUUAUUGGGGUGAUAAAAAAAUAAAAAAAACUUUUUUUAAAGUUAACCAUAAAUAAGUGAUUAUAUGAUCCAGUUUUAUUGAUUAAAAGAAAAAAUUACCUUAGGGAUAACAGCGUAAUUUUUUCUUUUAGUUCAUAUAAGAGAAAAAGUUUGCGACCUCGAUGUUGGAUUAAGAUAAAAAUUAA
rnacentral:rRNA from 1 species